UCAUCUCCACCAUCACCAACAACAUCCAGCAGAUCAUCGAGAUCGAGGACACCUUUGAGACCCUUCGGGCUGCUGUGGCUGCAUCAGGGCUCAACACGAUGCUUGAAGGUAACGGCCAGUACACGCUCUUGGCCCCGACCAAUGAGGCCUUCGAGAAGAUCCCUAGUGAGACUUUGAACCGUAUCCUGGGCGACCCAGAAGCCCUGAGAGGUGAGCAUCCUUUGGCUCCUGCUGCUGCCUCAUUUGUGCAGCUAGACUGAGCCCAAGACCUGCUCUGGUCGAAGAUGAACAUGCCAUCUGCCAUGAGGUGACCCUCAGGAUAUCCACUGCAGCCAUGGGCUAGGGUCAUCCUGUCCUGUUGCUUCAGCUAACCAUGUCUCUAGCAGCCACACUACUCUGAGGGCUGACUACAGAAUCCAGCAGCUUUUGUCUGGGAC
rnacentral:sRNA from 1 species